UGUAAGUAAUUAACAUCAAUUGGAAUUUAAAAUGAAUUGGUGUUUUAUUUUGGAACAAAAACCGGGACUGUACUUUUUAUUCCACUCGACGCUUGAGUUGAGGAAGUCCGAACAACAUGAACCGGGAAUAAGUCAAACAUUUCAAAAUGAAACUACUAUGUUUACCUUAACAAGAACUCCUCUAAAAUCAACUAAUAAUCAAAUGUCGGGGUCGUGAAACUCUACGUUAAAUGGCAGCAGCAGGCUGGAGCUAACCGUCCUCGGUUUAGCUCGCAUUGCCGCUGAUGAUACCAGCUAACUGUUCAACUUCAACAGCGACGUCCCGUUCGGGAUGUGUGCGUAUAUCACACACCGUUUACCCGGAGACACACACCGGCAUGUCCGCGCGGACCUUCUCGCCAACAGACCUGAGCCCUGACGGUGGAAGAUAACCAGCGGGAAGGCACAUUUUUAUCCGUCUAUUCAGUGAUAAUUUCGCCUAUAAACCGGGUUCGGUAGCCUGCUGAUAGCUGUCAGUCACCAAAGCCACCGACAAGUCUCCGUGUCUGCACUCGCUACCACUUCAUUAAAGAGGCUCAGCCACGGGGGGAGAACCGGCACGAACCUAGUACCUGUUUCUGAUGGUUGGGGGGGAACCAGAGCACCUGGAGGAAACCCACACAAACAGGGGGAGAACAUCCAAACUCCACACAGAAAGGCCCAGGACCUUCUCGCUAACCACUGGACCGCCAUGUUGCACUCAGUCAUUAUAUCCACAUUCAAAAUCUAAUCAGAUUGACUUGUCACAUUCACAAUCAUACACAGUACAAUGUGCACUCAAAUUCAUUGUUUAUCUGUUCGUCCCCCUAAAAACAAUCAAUAAUCAAUCAAAUCCAUAAAAAUAGUAACAUAUACAAGAGGAGUAAAUGAGGUGGUGGGUGGGCGGUGGGCCCAGUGGUCACAGAGCAGACGGACAGCCUGAGGGAGGAGGGAGAGUCCCAGUGGUCGGGGGUGCUCUCUCCAGGCCGCCACUGUUAAAAUCCCCGGCUACGAGGACGGGGUUUAAAUCUGGAUCUGAUCUAGUCCAGCUUGUUACUCAUGAUCGAUACUCGUGAUUUUUAUCAAAAAUAUCACAUAUAUAAAUAUUUUGUGAAAGCACCCCAACAAUAUUUUCGCAAUAUCGAUAGAGGUAUUUGGUCAAGGAUAUUGUGAUAUUUGAUAUUUAGAUUUUUUUCCCAUAUUGCACUGCACUGAUUUCAUUUUCAUCUAAAAUAAAGUGGCUGGAUUGAUUGACAGGAGGAACAACAGCUAAUUGUAUUUUGUUAUUAUUUUUUGGAGAAAAAAAGACAGAAAUCAAAGAAGCUAAAUUGGUAGCACUGAAAUAAUUAGUCAAAGUUGAUUGAUGAUUGGACAACAUGGAUGCAAAAAAUGAGAAAAAUAUGCAAUAACGUUGAAUAUUGUGAUAACUAUAUCACUUGCGAUAAGUAAACAGAAGUGUACUCAGGUCGGCUGCUUUCAGUGUUCUGCUGAAAUAGAACAAAUGCUUGUUGAAUUUAAAACAAAUGAAAGGAAAUCAUUUCCAACACUCUUUUAUUUAACAAAUUGAACACUGAAUUGAAUAUUAAAGGUACCACUAAAAUAGAAUAACAGUUACAUUAUAAAGUGCAGUUUUCUACUGAUAUUUCCUUUCAACUAAC